rnacentral:rRNA from 1 species
UGCCGGCGACCGGCGGACGGGUGCGUAACGCGUAUGUAACCUACCUUUGACAGGGGGAUAACAUCGAGAAAUUGGUACUAAUACCCCAUAACAUCACCGGAGGCAUCUUCGGUGGUUGAAAACUCAGGUGGUCAGAGAUGGACAUGCGUUGUAUUAGCUAGUUGGUGAGGUAACGGCUCACCAAGGCGACGAUACAUAGGGGGACUGAGAGGUCAACCCCCCCACAUUGGUACUGAGACACGGACCAAACUCCUACGGGAGGCAGCAG